rnacentral:snRNA from 1 species
GUGCUCACUUCGAUAGCACACACUCUAAAACUGGAACAGUACCGAGAUUAGCAUGGCCCCUGAGCAAGGACGACAUGCAAAUCCGUGAAACCUUCCAUAUUCUU